UGAAAGGCGAAACGUAAUGUGAAUCGCAACUAACAGUGAAUCAUCGAAUCUUUGAACGCAGGCCGCGCUUUGCAUAUCACUUGUGUUAUCGCAAAGCAUCUACGUAUGAGUGUCAGCCUAAUAUACUUUCGGUUUAAUGGUAAUUUAUUUACUAUUAAAUACAUUAUGCGAGUAUUUUUUAAAUACACGCGUUUAACAGAAUUUAUGUCUGGCCUCAUAUGUGGAAGAUUACCCGCUGGAUUUAA
rnacentral:misc_RNA from 1 species